CAAGGUAUUGAAAUAAGAUUUUAAUUGAAUGCUAAGAGAAUGGAAUUUCAGAAAAAAACUUUUUUCAAGUUAAAAAUUGAAAUUUUUUUAAUUUGUGCAGAAACAAUUAUUAAUAUUAAGGACAAGAAGACCCUAUGAAUUUAUAAAUUUUAUUUAAUAUGUAACUACUAUUGAAAAAAUUUUAGCUGGGGCGGCGGAAAAAUAUUUAAAACUUUUUUAAAAUAAAAUGACCCAUUAUUAAUGAUUAUAUGUUAAAUACUCUAGGGAUAACAGCGUUAUAUUUUUUGAUAGAUCAUAUUGACAAAAAAGUUUGCGACCUCGAUGUUGGAUUAGGAUACUUUUUUAAUGCAGAUAUUAAAAAAAUAAGUUUGUUCAACUUUUAAUUUCCUACUUGAUCUGAGUUCAGACCGG
rnacentral:rRNA from 1 species